CGGGGUUUCCUCCAAUUAGAGCAAGGGGGAUACGUCACCAUUGCCAUGGUUAUCCUGGCCCCCUUUCUUUCACCACACACCGACUACGAACAGCAUCAGCGGGGCCCGAGGCGGGCGUGGCACGGAGAGAUUGAAUAGUGUGAAGCAGACUGACAUCUCCUUGAAUAUGAUUUCCAAGCAUCUGAACUUUCCCAAGGAACAGUGGAAGAGGUGUAAAGACAAAAAAGAGUAAUUCCAUGAAAUACUCCUCAGUGUUGUUGGGAACAUGAGGAGAUGUUCCUGACACAUCACCUUUUCUCAGUUAAGUUCCUGCUACCUCCACUGUGAUGAUGAGCUGCGUUGAUACGUUCACCUGGUGGGUUUUAACCAAGAGUCAAAUACAAGAUCUUGGCAGCAACCUGUAAAUCUGCUGGGAAAGUUAUGAACACCUCUCCCUCUCGUAUGGCAAAAUACCUUGUCUUAUACCCUAAUGAUACACGGUUAUGUGUAAAAAGGAACCAGUUGCUGAUAUGAAAGCUAAACUUGAAUAGGCAAGCCUGAGACAGUUUCAGGAUUAAAAACAGAUUGUCAGCAAAACUGUGAUUUUAAAAUGAAUUUUAUGUUUCUUGGUCAUGGACCACGACUGAGUGCAUGAAAAUUCAUUUAUGUGCCUGUCAAAUCCAAUCUCAUCUUCGUGGAAUUGGAGUUGAAUAGUGUUGGUUUUCUCUUUACCUGAUCUGUUAAUCACAUGAUUGAUUUCAUAAGGCCAAUAAAAGCAGUGUCUCAUAAAUCGUA